GUGUCAGCCGCCGCGGUAAUACGUAGGGGGCGAGCGUUAUCCAGAUUUACUAGGCGUAAAGCGCGUUAAGGCGGAUGGCCAAGUUGGCGGUGAAAUUUCGGGGCUCAACCCCGAGACUGCCGCCAAAACUGGUCGUCUAGAGUAUGGGAGAGGAAGGUGGAAUUCCGGGUGUAGUAGUGAAAUGCGUAGAUAUCCGGAGGAACACUAGCGGCGAAGGCGGCCUUCUGGCCCAUAACUGACGCUGUAGCGCGAAAGCGUGGGGAGCGAACGGGAUUAGAAACCCGAGUAGUCC
rnacentral:rRNA from 1 species